UACAGAGGUCCCAAGCGUUGUUCGGAUUCAUUGGGCGUAAAGGGUGCGUAGGCGGCGCGGUAAGUCGGGUGUGAAAUCUCGGAGCUUAACUCCGAAACUGCAUUCGAUACUGCCGUGCUUGAGGACUGGAGAGGAGACUGGAAUUUACGGUGUAGCGGUGAAAUGCGUAGAUAUCGUAAGGAAGACCAGUGGCGAAGGCGGGUCUCUGGGCCUUACCUGACGCUCAGGUGCGAAAGCGUGGGGAGCGAACAGG
rnacentral:rRNA from 1 species